UACGUAGGGUGCGAGCGUUAAUCGGAAUUACUGGGCGUAAAGCGUGCGCAGGCGGUUCGUUGUGUCCGUCGUGAAAGCCCCGGGCUUAACCUGGGAACUGCGAUGGAAACUAGCGAGCUGGAGUGUGGCAGAGGGGGGGUGGAAUUCCGCGUGUAGCAGUGAAAAUGCGUAGAGAUGCGGAGGAACACCGAUGGCGAAGGCAGCCCCCCUGGGGCUAACACUGACGCUCAGGCACGAAAGCCCAGGGGGGAGCAAAACGGGG
rnacentral:rRNA from 1 species